UCCAAGGAGCCCAGAGCGGUGUCCUCCAUGCUUGAGUUUUUCCUUGGUAUGGGGAGGGCACUCUAACCACUACACCACGCUGGCUCUCAUGAUGCUGGCAGAAGAGGAAGACCCGCAGCCAGGUGGAUGGACUCGAUUAAGACAGCCCGGAAGGCCGCACUGGGAGACCUGAAAGGCCAAGUGGAAGACGGAUCAUCCUGGAGAGAAUCUAUCUGUGUGGUCGCGAAGAGUCGACACCGACCUGAUAGGGCACUUAAUCAAUCAAAAAUGUGGUGGUGGACACCAUUUCAAACACAAUAGAUAUAAAAUAGAGUAACAACAAUAACAACAAAUAUUUAUAGACCGCUUUUCAACAAAAGUUUACAUAGAGCAAUAAUAAAUAAAUAAGAUGGAUCCCUGUCCCCAAAGGGCUCACAAUCUUCCCUAAAUAUGUAAGUAAGUAAGAAAGAGACACCAGCAACAGCCACUGGAGGGAUGCUGUACUGGGGGUGGAUAGGGGCAGUUGCUCUCCCCCUGGUAAAUAAAAUCAAUUUAAAAAGAUGCCUCUGCCCAGUUGGCAGGAGUAUGAACUAUUACAACAGUUUCACAGAAUAAAAAAAGCUAACCAUGGGAUAAAAAGAACCAAACAGUUUAAAAUUAAUUCCCAUUAAAAGCCUAAGAAAACAGGUAUAUAUCGAUAGAGAGAUAGAUAUGUAUUCUUUAUUGUUUUAUUUUGAUGUCUAGUCUGUGGACCGCAAUGAAUAGAUUGACUACUGCCUGUGUGUGAACGUUAUGUAUAUCUAUAUACACAUAUACAUAUAUGGAUAUACAUAACAUCCACACACAUGCAGUAGUCAGUUGAUUCAUUGUGGUCCAUGGACCAGAAAUCAAGAUAAAACUACAUAAAAGAUGGCAGUGGAAUACCAGCAAUACAAUGCAAUACAUACAUAUACAUACACACACACACAUAUAUACUUACAUAUAUUAAAAAUGUUAUCUAUUAUAUAUUUUGAAGAGUUUGUGAGUUUGUUUCUACCAAAUAAAGUCACUCUUCCCAACUACCUACAAUGAGAUAUCAAUUUCUGCAUAAACUUAAAGUCACUUAAAGUAGCAAUGGUAAGUUCUUUAGCUUUUUAUAAUUUUCAGUUUUUAGCUUUUAAAAUAAUCUUUAAUUUAAACCUAAUAAUGAUUGUGGGUUUUUAAUCUGACAACUUUUGUUUCAUUUAGUUAAUUUUAUUACUUUUAUUGUAUCCAUCUUAUUGUUGUGAGCUGCCCUGAGCAGUGGUGCACUGGAGGGGAGUAUAAAUAUUGGAGUAUAAAUAUUUUAAAUAAAUAAUAAUAAUAAUACAUUAAAAGGAGAAGACUGCUCAUCUGAAGGAUGUUCUUACAUGCAGGACUUGGAACUGAUCUUUCCUUGAGGUGCUUUCUCUGUUGAAUGUAAAGCCUGCAUUAUCUCAUAUAUACCUGCUUUGAUUGACACCAGCUCUGUUCUAUCCUGCUUCAGCAGCAGCAUUCAUUCUUGGCACCAGCCACACAAAAGAGGCUCAAACCUGGUUGAUAGUGCCACAUGCAAACACAGUUUAAAUGUAACAUACAUGCUAGACAAGAUAACACCGUACAAUUUAAUUGCAGACUUGAGAAAUCCAAGACAACUUUAAGCAACAUGUGUGAAAGCCGCCUAAGAUCAAUUCUGUGUCAGUUUCCACCCACUUUUUGCCAAUUGUUUCCCAAUUCAUUGUUUGCUUUUGGGAUCCCUCUGUUGUCCUGAGCUACUGUUGUUGGCAGACCUUCCUGUUCAUGCACCCCAGGCACUGAGCUGCAGAAAGCAGUUGGCAUUUUAUGGCAGGAUUACCUCACCAGCCCCUAGCAGUAUCUUGGAUAUAUACCCAUCUAACUCCACUGUGUCUUCUUUUUAACAACCGAUGGUGCCCAUCAUUUCCUCUGGCUUCACGUCACCUUUGGACCAUUUGCUCAGCACCUCACACUAUCAAUCUUCCCUUCCACCAGUCACACAAGGGCCACAAAUAAUGGUACCCAAAUAUUCUAUGCCAUUCAACGGACCCAUUCAACUAUCACCCAUUCUUAGUAAUUUAUUGUAAAACAAACAUGCAGAAUCAAUCCCCUGAGCAAAAGAGGCACUUUUAAAAGUAGUGGCACUCUUGUAUUUAUCAGGGGGAGAGCAACUGCCCCUAUCCAACCCCAGCACAGCAUCCCUCCAGUUGCUGUCGCUGGAUUCUACCUUAUGUUUCUUUGUAGACUGUAACCCUUUUGAGGACUGGGAAGCAACUUCUCCUUUUUCUAUGUUAACUGCUUUGAGAACUUUUUUGUUGUUGUUGAAUAGUGGUAUAUAAAUAUUAAUAAUCAUAGUUAUAAAUAGAUACAAAUGUUCUGCAUCAUUUAGACAUAUAGAUCAAUGCAAUUCAUUCUUAGAACUGUCGUUUAUCCUGCACUAUUCAGCCUACCCUUGCUGUUGAAAAACUGCUUAUUCUCUUUCCUCAGCACCUGCCUGACAAUCUUCUCCACCCUCCCAUGCUAACAAUGGGCACUUUCUGAGAUCAGGUGGAACUUGGUACGCGGCCUUCACACUCUCAAGCUUCCUUCGAUACCUGAAUCCUAUCCAGCAUAACAGCCUGUGUUCAUUAAUCUUGCCAAUAACAUGGAAUGUGCUCAGGAGAAGAGGCCAAGAGUUUCUCUUUCACCACAUCUAUGCCUUCAAGUGGCCCCGUGCAGUGGUAAUGCUAAGCCAUGGUUUGGUGUUAUGAGUAUGUGCUGUGGUGAAACUUGGACUAUUGCACUCCCUGCUCCACCUGCAAGGGAGAAAGUGCUUAAAAAUGCUUGAGCACCGAUGCUCUUCUUUCCAUCCUCUGAGGGUGAGAGGGUGAAGACUCAUAACCACCCAUCUGCUGCCUAGAAAACUGGGAAGGAGACAGUGCAGGGGCCUCCCACAAGUGCAGCCUGGCCCUGGACAUUAUACAGGCCAGUGAAAUGGAACAUUUGAUCAGUCACAUGGAACAGCCCUUGUUGUUUAACCAUUCAUGCAGCUCCAUUAGUGAUAUGAUCUUGGAAAUGUGAAGAUUACUUCCCAGUUCUGUAAUCAUGUAGGAUGUCUGAAUUUGCCCCAACAAAUGCAAAGUGGCAUGCUGUUCACACAAAAAAUAGGGUUACCUUUGAGGACGAUCGGGAAGCUACAAUGAGUCCAGAAUGCAGUGGCUCGCCUCCUCAUGUGUGCCAGAAAAUAUGACAGGACCUGCUGUUUCCUAUGUAUAACUGAGAGAAGAAAUCAUCUCUGCUACUACACAUUUUUAGAAAGUAUAUCAUUAAACUCUUCAAAGGGUGCUUUUCAGAAUGUGUUUACUCUUGAAAUGGAUAAAAGGCCUGAGGCAGAAGCAAAGACUCACUCUCUACAAAAGCCCAGCUGGUCUUAGAUCACUUUGUGUUCCUCACCCAUUUCUACUUUAGUAUUGUCUGUCAUGCCACUCCCUUUGGCUUGAGCAGACUCACUCGCUCUCGCUCUCUCUCUCUGGCCACCAUCCUUUAUACGUGCUCUAAACCCCACUGAUGCAAAGACUCUGCAAUAAGCUACCACAGUUGAAGGACCUAAGCAAUGGUUCCAGUCUAAAUUUUGUAGAGCUACUUUUUCAACCCCCUGUUGUACAUCUUAUGCUAAACUGUGACUGAAAGCUGGCCUAUUAAGCUUGGAGACCUGUUCCUGGAUCUGGAUCUUCAACUUUGGAUUGAAACUGAUGAAGAAGAAGAUGAAGACGAAUAUUUAUAUACUGCUUUUCAACAAAAGUUCCCAGAGCGGUAAAGAAAGAAAGAAAGAAAGAAAGAAAGAAAGAAAGAAAGAAAGCUCCCUCUCAUUAAAGGGCUCACAAUAAAAAAGAAAGAAAGAAAGAAAGAUACAAACAUAAGAUAGACACCAGCAACAGCCACUGGAGGAAUGCUGUGCUGGGGAUGGAUCGGGUCAGUUGCUCUCCCCCUGCUAAAUAAAGAGAAUCACCACUGUUAAAAGGUGCCUCUUUGCUCAGUUAGCAGGGAUCUACUUUCCCUUUGGCUUAACUCCCUUAAUUUUUAAGGAUGACUAUCCUUCUGAUUGGAUGUAUUCAGUCACUGAAAAGCUGAAAUAGUAUGGGUUGUCUAUGGAAUAUCUACUCCCUCUGGGUUAUGAUAAUGCCAAGGUGGUCCUCAAGCAGCAUAUUAUCAAUAUAGAACACCAGAAAGAUCUAAGCUAGGCCUGCUCAAUUUAGGGCUCUCAGCUGUUUGGGGCUACAACUCCCAUAAUCCCCAGCGAUAGUAGCCAAUAGCCAGGGAUUAUGGGAAUCGUACGCCAACAUCUGCAGGAGGGCCGAAGUCAGCAGUCUCGCUCUGCUGCCCAGGGUGCUCUCCAAAAAGGUGUCCUUGAGAAACUGUGCCCUUGCAGGAAUGGGGAUGUUGAGACAGCUGGCCGUAAGCUCUUGUAUUGCCCUUUUUAUUGUGACUUAUAUUUCAGAUAUAUUACUCAACUUAUUUUUAGAUAUCCAAAUAAUUCUGAGUUUUAUAUAAACUUAUUUCUCUCUGAUAAUCACACCAAUGUUUGGCAUCAGGUAGCCAGGUUUGUAUGGCUGAGAUUGACCUGCACAUGGUGUGUCAGAAAUGGUUAAUUUGGGUUUGUUGGUUUGUUUAGUGUGCUUCAUCUUGCUUUAUUUUAUUCUGCUGGUAUGUGAUAGUUUCUCUCUCUCUCUCUCUCUCUCUCUCUCUCUCUCCAUCCCAAUGUUCUCUUUGUUCAGGUCUGGGUUGAAAUAUGUAUAUUUGAUCAAAGAUUGCAAUAAACUGAACUGAACUAAGCAAUGGAAAUGUCUUGCCCAGUUUGUUUCAUACAAAGCUUUACUAAUUUAAAAAUAAUAGCAAAUAAGAUUUAGUGUUUAUCCUGUU